AUUGAACGCUGGCGGCAUGCCUUACACAUGCAAGUCGAACGGCAGCACGGGAGCAAUCCUGGUGGCGAGUGGCGAACGGGUGAGUAAAGUAUCGGAACGUGCCCAGUCGUGGGGGAUAACGUAGCGAAAGUUACGCUAAUACCGCAUACGAUCUAUGGAUGAAAGCGGGGGAUCGCAAGACCUCGCGCGAUUGGAGCGGCCGAUAUCAGAUUCGGUAGUUGGUGGGGUAAAGGCUCACCAAGCCGACGAUCUUUAGCUGGUCUGAGAGGACGACCAGCCAAACUGGGACUGAGACACGGCCCAGAGUCCUACGAGAGGCAGCAGUGGGGAAUUUUGGACAAUGGGCGAAAGCCUGAUCCAGCCAUGCCGCGUGCAGGAUGAAGGCCUUCGGGUUGUAAACUGCUUUUGUACGGAACGAAAAGGUUUGGCCUAAUAAGCUGAGCUCAUGACGGUACCGUAAGAAUAAGCACCGGCUAACUUCGUGCCAGCCGCCGCGGUAA
rnacentral:rRNA from 1 species